UAGUCCACGCUGUAAACGAUGAUUACUAGAUGUUCGGAUUUCGGUCUGAGUGUCCAAGCGAAAGUGAUAAGUAUCCCACCUGGGGAGUACGUUCGCAAGAAUGAAACUCAAAGGAAUUGACGGGGGCCCGCACAAGCGGUGGAGCAUGUGGUUUAAUUCGAUGAUACGCGAGGAACCUUACCAGGGCUUAAAUGCAUUACGACAGGUCUAGAGAUAGAUUUUCCUUCGGGCGUUUUGCAAGGUGCUGCAUGGUUGUCGUCAGCUCGUGCCGUGAGGUGUCAGGUUAAGUCCUAUAACGAGCGCAACCCCUGCCGUUAGUUGCCAGCAUGUAAUGGUGGGGACUCUAACGGGACUGCCGGUACAAACCGUGAGGAAGGUGGGGACGACGUCAAAUCAUCACGGCCCUUACGUCCUGGGCCACACACGUGCUACAAUGGCCGGUACAGCGGGAAGGCCAUGCGGUAACGCAGAGCGGAUCCACAAAACCGGUCACAGUUCGGAUCGGGGUCUGCAACUCGACCCCGCG
rnacentral:rRNA from 1 species